AACAGUAGCCCCUGCUUUUUAUUUCUUCUUCUAUGGUUUUGUCUUUAAAAUGUUUGCGUCCCUUAGGCCCUCCCCUUUUGUCAUGUUGUCCUGCGGGAGAGGACUUGGAGCGGGCAGCUUGUAACUAUUGUUUUUCUGUUGGAUAUUUUCGUCAGAAUAAAUCUUUGAAAGCCAAA